UAUGGAAUUUUAAAAUCUAAAGUGAUAAACACUAAUGGUUAUGGCCAAUGUCUAAAAUGCCCUUCAUGGUAGACAUGAGAAGUCUAAACUACCCUUGUGCAUUAUUAAAGGAAGAAAUCAAUUAUUGGAGGGGAAAUUACCAUUUUGCCCUUUUGUCCACUUUAGUGCAUUAUUGGUGAAAUAAUUGUGUAUCAUUGCUACUAAUCCACCAAAUCCGGCCAACCACUCUAUUAUUGUCCUUUGAGCUCUAUAAUUACCAGCCAUAUCAGCAUCCAAGGCAAUCUAAGGGUCUAUAUAUAGAGAUUGAAGGAGAAAUAAUGAAAACACACUCUAAUAUUUUCUAAACUCUCUAGCUACACUCUCUCAACCUCUAGCCAACGAAUUUGCCUUGCCCAUAAGCUCAUAAUCAAAGCCUAGCCAUCACAAACAACAAAUCAGAAGCAUCAAAGCCAAAAAAAUCAAAAAUCGAAGCUAGAAAAGGUAUGAAAUUCCCUAAUUUUGAAAUCCUUCGAUUCGAUGUUAAUUGAUGCAAUUGAUUGUUUAA
rnacentral:lncRNA from 1 species